AAGUCGUAACAAGGUUUUCGUAGGUGAACCUGCGGAAGGAUCAUUACUGAACUGUCGACACGAGUUGUUGCUGGUCCUCGAAAGGGGGCAUGUGCACGCUCUGUUUACACAUCCACUCACACCUGUGCACCCUCUGUAGUUCUGUGGCCUUGGGGACUCUGUCCUCUUGCUGUGGUCCUACGUCUUUACAUACACACCGUAAUACAGUCUCAUGGAAUGUAGUCGCGUUUAACGCAAUACAAUACAACUUUCAGCAACGGAUCUCUUGGCUCUCGCAUCGAUGAAGAACGCAGCGAAAUGCGAUAAGUAAUGUGAAUUGCAGAAUUCAGUGAAUCAUCGAAUCUUCGAACGCACCUUGCGCCCUUUGGCUACUCCGAAGGGCAUGCCUGUUUGAGUAUCAUGAACACCUCAACUCUCAUGGUCCGCCAUGAUGAGCUUGNACUUUGNAGGUAUUGCCGGCCUAACCGUCAGCUCCUCUCAAAUGGAUCAGCUUGCCAGUGUUUGGUGNCAUCACGGGUGUGAUAACUAUCUACGCUCGUGGUCNUCUGCCAUGUAACCUUCAGUGAUGGAGGNUCGCUGGAGCUCACAGACGUCUCUCCUCAGGGAGGACAGCAUUUUGAACGUUUGAUCUCAAAUCAGGUAGGACUACCCGCUGAACUUAAGCAUAUCAAUAAGCGGAGGNAAAGAAACUAACAAGGAUUCCCCUAGUAACUGCGAGUGAAGCGGGAAGAGCUCAAAUUUAAANUCUGGCGUGCCUCUGNUCGUCCGAGUUGUAGUCUGGAGAAGCGUUUUCCGUGUUGGACCGUGUAUAAGUCUCUUGGAACAGGGCGUCAUAGAGGGUGAGAAUCCCGUCUUUGACACGGACUACCAAUGCUUUGUGAUGCGCUCUCAAAGAGUCGAGUUGUUUGGGAAUGCAGCUCAAAAUGGGUGGUAAAUUCCAUCUAAAGCUAAAUAUAGGCGAGAGACCGAUAGCGAACAAGUACCGUGAGGGAAAGAUGAAAAGCACUUUGGAAAGAGAGUUAAACAGUACGUGAAAUUGCUGAAAGGGAAACGCUUGAAGUCAGUCACGUCUGCCAGGACUCAGCCUCGCUUUUGCUUGGUGUAUUUUCUGGUCUGAUGGGCCAACAUCAAUUUUGACCGUUGGAAAAAGGCAUUGGGAAUGUGGCACCCUCGGGUGUGUUAUAGCCCUUUGUUGUAUACGACGGUUGGGAUUGAGGACUGCAGCACGCCUUCAUGGCCGGGGUUCGCCCACGUACGUGCUUAGGAUGUUGGCAUAAUGGCUUUAAGCGACC
rnacentral:rRNA from 1 species